GCCUCCGUAGCUCAGUGGAAGAGCGACCGCCUUCUAAGCGGUAUGCCGCAGGUUCGAUCCCUGCCGGGGGCACAA
rnacentral:tRNA from 1 species